rnacentral:rRNA from 1 species
CCUACGGGAGGCAGCAGUGAGGAAUAUUGGUCAAUGGGCUUACGCCUGAACCAGCCAAGUCGCGUGAGGGAAGACUGCCCUAUGGGUUGUAAACCUCUUUUGUCAGGGAGCAAUUGGCGCUACGUGUAGCGUUAUCGAGAGUACCUGAAGAAAAAGCAUCGGCUAACUCCGUGCCAGCAGCCGCGGUAAUACGGAGGAUGCGAGCGUUCUCCGGCUUUAUUGGGUUUAAAGGGUGCGUAGGCGGAAUGCCAAGUCAGCGGUAAAAUCGCGGGGCGAAACCGCGCUCCGGCGUUGAAACUGGCGUUCUUGAGUGGGCGAGAGGUAUGCGGAAUGCGUGGUGUAGCGGUGAAAUGCAUAGAUAUCACGAAGAACUCCGGUUGCGAAGGCAGCAUACCGGAGCCCAACUGACGCUGAAGCACGAAAGCGUGGGUAUCGAACAGGAUUAGAUACCCGGGUAGUC